rnacentral:rRNA from 1 species
UACGGGGGGGGUAAGCGUUGUUCGGAAUUACUGGGCGUAAAGGGCUCGUAGGCGGCCAACUAAGUCAGACGUGAAAUCCCUCGGCUUAACCGGGGAACUGCGUCUGAUACUGGAUGGCUUGAGUUUGGGAGAGGGAUGCGGAAUUCCAGGUGUAGCGGUGAAAUGCGUAGAUAUCUGGAGGAACACCGGUGGCGAAGGCGGCAUCCUGGACCAACACUGACGCUGAUGAGCGAAAGCCAGGGGAGCAAAUGGG